rnacentral:rRNA from 1 species
AUGUCUUCCUCAUCCGGCGCCUUCCAACCUAGCCUCAAUGGCCAGGUUACCGAGAAGUUCUCUCGCACAAACUACAUGUUGUGGCGCACGCAGAUCACGCCGCAACUGCAUGGCGCCAGUGUCUCCGGCUUUGUCGAUGGCACCUCGCCGGAACCAACCAAGCUCCUCUCCACCAAGGACAAGGACGGCAAGGAGACCAUCACGCCCAACCCUCUCCACCCUAUAUGGGUCAGGGAGGAUCAGCAGGUGCUCGGCUACCUGUUGGCCAACCUCUCUAAAGAGGUGCUCAUCACGGUGACCACGGUC